ensembl:lncRNA
CCUGUCUCCUCCUGCCUCAGCCUGUCUCCUCCUACCUCAGCCUGUCUCCUCCUACCUCAGCCUGUCUUCUCCUACCUGAACCUGUCUCCUCCUACCUCAGCAUGUCUCCUCCUACCUCAGCCUGUCUCCUCCUACCUACAGACUCAGGCUAGAUUAGUCUCACUGGGAGGGGGAGACUUGGCAGUAAACUGGAGUCAGGCUAGAUUAGUCUCACUGGGGGGGGAAGACUUGGCAGUAAACUGGAGUCAGGCUAGAUUAGUCUCACUUAGGGAGGGACAGGCAGUAAACUGGAGUCAGACUAGAUUAGUGGGGGAGGGACAGGCAGUAAACUGGAGUCAGACUAGAUUAGUGGGGGAGGGACAGGCAGUAAACUGGAGUCAGACUAGAUUAGUAGGGGAGGGACAGGCAGUAAACUGGAGUCAGACUAGAUUAGUGGGGGAGGGACAGGCAGUAAACUGGAGCAGACUAGAUUAGUAGGGGAGGGACAGGCAGUAAACUGGAGUCAGACUAGAUUAUUGGGGGAGGGACAGACAGUAAACUGGAGUCAGACUAGAUUAUUGGGGGAGGGACAGACAGUAAACUGGAGUCAGACUAGAUUAGUGGGGGAGGGACAUUACAAUCAGAUUUUCCCAGCUAGUGACAGCGGGUUUGACUCCAAGUCCUUGACUGCUGGUGUCAUUGAGUCUUGUGUAGAGUACAGUAUACUUAUGAGAUGAGUAAUAUAGGGUAUAUAAACAUUAUAUAAGGUGGCUAGUGAUACAUGUAUUACAUCUACGUUUCCAUUAUUAAAGUGGCUGGAUAGUUGAGUCAGUGUGUUGGCAGCAGAAUCUCAGGGAUCUUUAACUGCUGAGUUGUGAGAUGACCUGCUACAUUUCCAGGAUAUUCAUCUUUCUUUAAUCUACUUCAAGCAUCCGAGUUUAAAGCUUCACAAGGUGUUAUAAGGAUGUAUAAGCCGAG